UUCAAAAUGCUGAUACGCGCAAGCGGGAAGGAAAACAACAACCAUGGCGGACGACAAUGACAAUUAUGGUGUUAAUGUGUUAUUUCGGACAACAAAAUCACGAUCUUCGUGGGAGCGCAUCUGAAGCGCACCUGAAGCGGAUCUCCUACAAUGGGCGGCAGGAUUCUUAAGGAGCGGUGGUGCAACCAGUCAUCGCUCGAUGGUCCCACUUGUUGAUUGAUGACGUCUCGUUGGGAUUUUGCCAGGAACUGCACCUGCCCUAUACUGCCAAGCUGACCACGGAUUGACCGGAAACAUCUGCCUGCCGCCUCGGCAGGCAGAUGUUGCCGGAAUCUACACACACACAAUUCCUACCACCUCCCUCAGCAACUCUCCUUCCCCGACGACCCCACCCGAGCCGACCCUCUGUUUUCCAGCUCAGAGGACAACCCGGACUCACCACCCUUACAAAACUGUAAAAUAAAUUUUUUGAACUUUA